rnacentral:rRNA from 1 species
AUGUCCUUCCUGAGACUGUUACCUCAAAGGUUGCCCCAGUUUGCUAGGCAGGUGGAGCGAGAUGUUGAGACUGUAAUCAAUGUUCUGCAGCCAGGUCCAAUAGGAAUUGUGGAGCACAAAUUCACCGAUGCAGAGAUCCGCGAGGCGCAAGGCACAGUAAGGAGCGCAGUCCAGAAUUGGCGAAGGAACUGGAAUUUGGAGAGAAAUCUUGCCACUGGUUCUAUUGGUAAAUCGAAGUAA